CCCUUAGAUGUUCUGGGCCGCACGCGUGCUACACUGAUGCAUUCAACGAGCCUAUCCUUGACCGACAGGUCCGGGUAAUCUUUGAAUCUGCAUCGUGACGGGGAUAGAUUAUUGCAAUUAUUAAUCUUCAACGAGGAAUGCCUAGUAGGCGCAAGUCAUCAGCUUGCGUCGAUUACGUCCCUGCCCUUUGUACACACCGCCCGUCGCUCCUACCGAUUGGGUGUGCUGGUGAAAUGUUCGGAUCGGCCGUUUGUCGCGGUUUCCGCGUCAUGUGGCUGAGAAGUUCAUUAAACCCUCCCGCCUAGAGGAAGGAGAAGUCGUAACA
rnacentral:rRNA from 1 species